GUAUGUUAAACAUGAGAGAGUACAGAAGUUGGUGUUCCUGGAUCGUCUGGAAUUCCCUCUGAGCUUUGACCACCAGCGCCCCACGGCCAGGAAGCGUCACUGCUGACGUUUUACUGGAGUGACACCUGGAGACAGACAGGCUGGCUACCCAGCAAGGACUGAUGCUGCGUUCCAGUUACCUGGGAAAUAUAGGAACUCGGAGCUCGGAUUUGAUGUCAAAAACAAGCUUCUUGCUUCUUCCCGCUCCCCUCCGCCCUGGGCUCAGCUGCUGCCAAGGUCCCAGCCUUGGGUUUGCAGUCGUGAUUGGGUCAAGCGGAGUGGAAAUGGGCCGGGCUGCUCCGAGCUUCCUCCUCCGAGUGUUGGAGGAGGAGCAAAGAUGAUUAAAAAUCUGACACAUUGUUAUUCAAUCCUUUUGGCAGCAGCUGUGUGUAUUACAUGGACAAUGUGGCUGAAAAACGCAUCACUAUAUGAGUAUU